rnacentral:rRNA from 1 species
GAUGAACGCUGGCGGCGUGCCUGAUACAUGCAAGUCGAGCGAACAGACGAGGAGCUUGCUCCUCUGACGUUAGCGGCGGACGGGUGAGUAACACGUGGAUAACCUACCUAUAAGACUGGGAUAACUUCGGGAAACCGGAGCUAAUACCGGAUAAUAUAUUGAACCGCAUGGUUCAAUAGUGAAAGACGGUUUUGCUGUCACUUAUAGAUGGAUCCGCGCCGCAUUAGCUAGUUGGUAAGGUAACGGCUUACCAAGGCAACGAUGCGUAGCCGACCUGAGAGGGUGAUCGGCCACACUGGAACUGAGACACGGUCCAGACUCCUACGGGAGGCAGCAGUAGGGAAUCUUCCGCAAUGGGCGAAAGCCUGACGGAGCAACGCUGCGUGAGUGAUGAAGGUCUUCGGAUCGUAAAACUCUGUUAUUAGGGAAGAACAAAUGUGUAAGUAACUAUGCACGUCUUGACGGUACCUAAUCAGAAAGCCACGGCUAACUACGUG